UACAGAGGUCCCAAGCGUUGUUCGGAUUCAUUGGGCGUAAAGGGUGCGUAGGCGGCGGGGUAAGUCAGGUGUGAAAUCCCGGAGCUUAACUCCGAAACUGCAUUCGAUACUGGCGUGCUUGAGGACUGGAGAGGAGACUGGAAUUCAUGGUGUAGCAGUGAAAUGCGUAGAGAUCAUGAGGAAGACCAGUGGCGAAGGCGGGUCUCUGGACAGUUCCUGACACUGAGACACGAAGGCCAGGGGAGCAAACGGG
rnacentral:rRNA from 1 species